rnacentral:lncRNA from 1 species
AGAGAGAGAGAGAGAGAGAGAGAGAGAGAGAGAGUAGAGCUACUAUACUCUUAUGAGUAUAGAGCUCUAUGUACUCAUAAGUUGUUAAGUUGUUUUUGAUGUUGGGCUUUUCGAAUCGACGAUCCACACUUAAAUAUGAUCUAGAGUAUUUGAAACUUCUAGAAAAUAAAUUUCGUAAUUUUUCUAAAUCAUUAUAAAGUCCAUCAAGCGGGUAUAAAAUAAACGGUUAAAAUCGAAUGACAUCCUAAAAAUGAAUGAUCGGAUCCUUCAAUUUAAGAUCGGAGUUAUUGAUCUUUAUUUAGGUAGUGAAUAGAAUUUUCUAUCAAAAAUUCAACCUAUUCCGAUUCUUUUUCACCGUUAAACUAGCAAAUAUCUCACACCGGCCGUUAAAAAUUGUCAAUUUUGUGAGCUUUUGAUCGUAAGGUAAAUAAUUUUGAAAAAUUAUAAAAUUUGAUUUCUAGAAGUUUUAAAUGUUCUAGAUAAUGUUUAACGGUAUGGAUCGGUGAUUCGGAAGCUCUGUUAUCGAAAACAACUUAUGAGUACGAAGGCGAUCGUACUUAAAAGAGUAUAGUAGCCGACUCUAUAUAUAUAUAUAUAUAGAGAGAGAGAGAGAGAGAGAGAGAGAGAGAGUUGAGCUAGAAUACUCUCAAAAGCAUCAAGGGGUGGUGCUUUUGAGUUUUUAACCAUUGGAUGGAGAGAUAUAAGGUUGAGAUGAUGGUGGUAGGUGGUGGUAAGCGGAAUAGUAUUUAAUCCAAGGGGUAUUAGUAAUUAAGGAGUAGAUCCAAGAACUAGAAACUUAGAAGCACCAAAGGGUUGAUGCUUCUAAAGUAUUCUAGCUCAAUUAUAUAUAUAUAUAUAUAUAUAUAUAGAGUUGAGCUAGAAUACUCUCAAAAGCACCAUGGGGGUGGUGCUUUUGAGUUUUUAAGCCAUUGGAUGGAGAUAUGUGAGGUUGAGAUGAUGAUGGUAGGUGGUGGUAGGUGGUGGUAGGUGGAAUAGUAUUUGAUCUAAGGGCUAUUAGCAAUCAAGAAGUAGAUCCAAUGACUAAAAACCUAAUAGCACCAUGGGGGUGAUACUUGUAAAAGUAUUCUAGCUCAAUUCUAUAUAUAUAUAUUAUAUUACUAUUAUUUAUAUAUAGAUUGAGCUAGCAAUACUUUUACAAGUAUCCAUGGGGUGUGCUUUAGUGUUUUUAGCCCUUCAGAUGGAGAGAUGUGAGGUUGAGAUUGAUGGUGGUAGCGUGGUGGUAGGUGGAAUAGUAUUUGAUCCAAGGACUAUUAGUAAUCAAAGAAGUAGAUCAAUAUCUAAAAACUAUAGCACCAUGGGGCGAUACUUAUAAAAGUAUCCUAGCUCAACUCUAUAUAUAUAUAUAUAUAUAUAUAUAUAUAUAUAUAUAUAUAUAUAUAUAUAUAUUAUAUAUAUAUAUAUAUAUAGUCCGGCUACUACUAUACUCUUAUGAGUAUAGAGCCUUCUUUACUCAUAAAUUUUUGGCCGUUAAAUCUACCUUUAAUCAUUUUCACCCGUUAGAUUAUACUAUUUAACAACCGCCUACUCAACCAUAGAGGCCACUAUCAAUACUAACGUACCACUCUAUACUAACCGUAUAUUUUUCAUCUGACGGCCGAAACUUAAGAGUAUAAAGGCGUAUAUACUCAUAUGAGUAUAGUAUCCUAGUGUGUGUAUAGAUAUAUAUAUAUAUAGUAUAUUAUGAUAUAUAUAGAUUAUGCUACUUUACUAUCAAUAGUACGGCCUUGGUACUAUUGAGUUUCGGCGUUGGAUGAAAAGAUAUGCGGUUGAGGAUAAUAGUGGUCUCCAGGUUAAAUUGAUAAUGGUCCUAGGGUUGAGUGGUGGUUGGUUUAAUGUAUAAUCAAAGGUGGAAAGUGAUCAAAGGGUUUAAGAUCUUACGUAGAAAACUAAUAGUACCAAUGGCUUCGUUACUAUUGAUAGUAUAGAUAGUUAGCGGACUCUAUAUUAUAUAUAUAUUAUAUAUAUUAUUAUAUUAUAUAUAUAUUAUAUAUUAUAUAUAUAUAUAUAUUAUAUAAUAAUAUAUAUAUUAUAUAUUAGGCUAGGGCUACUAUAAUCUUAUGAGUAUAAGCCCUUUUGUACUCAUUAAGUUUCGACCAUUAGAUGAAGAGAUGUGCAGUUAAGUGAGUAGUGUGUCCCGGUUAAGUAAUAGUGGUCCUAGAAUUGAGUGGGUUGAUUGGUUAAAUAGUAUGAUCUAACGGGUGGAAAUGAUGAAAGAAAUAGAUCUAAUGGCAAAAUCUUAUGAGUACAAAAGGGACUAUACUCAUAGAACAUAGUGCGAAAUAUAUAUAUAUAUAUAUUAUAUAUAUAUAUUUAAUAUAUAUAUAUAUAUUAUAUAUUAUAGAGAGAGAGAAGAGAGAGAGAGCAGAGAGAGAGAGAGAGAGAGAGAGGAGAGAGAGAGCAGGGUGCUGUGCUCUCAGAAGCACGGAGGCCUCCGUGCUCUGAGUAGUUUUCGAUGAUGAAAUUUUCGAAUCGACGUCAGCUCCGUUAGACUUGAUCUAGCGCAUUUGAAGUUUCUAGAAAAUAAUUUUUUUGCCGAUUUUUUUAUAUCAUUUACGAGUGAUCGAAAGGAUUCAAAUCCAUAAUUUUAAUGGUUGAUAUCUACCGUUUUUCAAUUUAACGGGUGUAGAACUUUCAAAAUAGUAUGAAAUUUUGAUGCAAAAUUUUUUAUACUACUCUACAACAAGAUCAAUAUUUCUGAUCGAAAAUUUUAGUGCUAUAUCACCACUUUUUAUAGAAUUUUUAUUUUCAGCCGUUAAAACUUAUUGAUUUUGAAUCCUUUCGAUUACUAGAUAAAUGAUAUCGAAAUGUCACAAAAAUUAUUUUAUAAAAACUUUAAAUAUGCUAAAUCAAGUUUAACGGAGCCGAUCGUCGAUUCGGAAACUCCAUCAUCGAAAACGGCUCAGUGUAUAUAGGCCUCCGUGCUCCUGAGAGCACAACAGCCCUACUCUCUCUCUCUCUCU